UACGAAGGUGGCAAGCGUUGUUCGGAUUUACUGGGCGUACAGGGAGCGUAGGCGGUUGGAUAAGCCCUCCGUGAAAUCUCCAGGCUUAACCUGGAAAGUGCAGAGGGGACUGUUCAGCUAGAGGAUGGGAGAGGAGCGCGGAAUUCCCGGUGUAGCGGUGAAAUGCGUAGAGAUCGGGAGGAAGGCCGGUGGCGAAGGCGGCGUCUGGAACAUUUCUGACGCUGAGGCUCGAAAGCGUGGGGAGCAAACAGG
rnacentral:rRNA from 1 species